ACGCCGAUGGUGAAACGGUUAUCAUGCUUGCCUUCCAUGAUUUGUUAGCAAGCGGUAGGGGUUCGACUCCCCUUCGGCGUA